AUUGAACGCUGGCGGCAUGCUUUACACAUGCAAGUCGAACGGUAACAGGCCGCAAGGUGCUGACGAGUGGCGAACGGGUGAGUAAUGCAUCGGAACGUGCCCAGUCGUGGGGGAUAACUACUCGAAAGAGUAGCUAAUACCUCAUACGAUCUAUGGAUGAAAGCGGGGGACCGUAAGGCCUCGCGCGAUUGGAGCGGCCGAUGUCAGAUUAGGUAGUUGGUGGGGUAAAGGCUCACCAAGCCAACGAUCUGUAGCUGGUCUGAGAGGACGACCAGCCACACUGGGACUGAGACACGGCCCAGACUCCUACGGGAGGCAGCAGUGGGGAAUUUUGGACAAUGGGCGCAAGCCUGAUCCAGCAAUGCCGCGUGCAGGAAGAAGGCCUUCGGGUUGUAAACUGCUUUUGUACGGAACGAAACGGCUCUGGUUAAUACCCGGGGCUAAUGACGGUACCGUAAGAAUAAGCACCGGCUAACUACGUA
rnacentral:rRNA from 1 species